GCACAGCCUCUAGCACGGCCCCUGUCGCAGUCUCUGUUGUCUGCUCUGCCUGUUCUCUGGGCCCUGUGGGUGGCCUGUGAGCCACAGCUCUGUCACACACCAGAAGUGGCUCAGUGACAGCAAGUUACCCUGCCUUGAAGGGAGGUGGGGAGCAGACCUCCCAGCUCGGUGUGGCUCCCUCCGUGGGCCACAGGGGGACAGAGCAGCCUCAGGCAGGACUUUCCUCUCCUGGGCCCACUGCGGGCUUCCGGGACAGGGAAUGCAUCUUCCUCUUUCCAGUUUACUCACUGCAGAGCCAGGCACAGGGAUGGGCUCCCAGGACCAACCUGAUGGUCCAGCCCAAAGUCCUGGCCUUUCUUAAGUCACUUGGAUUGGAACCCCCAGCAGGAAGUCUACCUGUUCCCGACCCCUGUCCAGCCCUGCACAGCACAUCUAGUGGAGAGCAGAGCAGAAGGUGUGCUGGGUGGACCUUGUCUAAACUCAACCAAAAGAUGAAGUUGUCCCUGGGCAUGGAUCCCCAGCUCUCGAAGCCCUUCUCAGGGGUCCUGAGCACAGCUGCCUGUGGGGCUUGUGGUCUGGCUUGGGGCUUGGAGACCCAGCCAGCUUACCAGGGAGGGAGAACUGAAAGGAAGCAUCUUGUACAGUCAGACCUCCCUUUCAUCCCAAAAGCAGUGUCAACAUGAAUAAAU
rnacentral:lncRNA from 1 species